UACGUAGGGGGCUAGCGUUGUCCGGAAUCAUUGGGCGUAAAGAGCGUGUAGGCGGUCCGGUAAGUCCGCUGUGAAAGUCGGGGGCUCAACCCUCGAAUGCCGGUGGAUACUGUCGGGCUAGAGUACGGAAGAGGCGAGUGGAAUUCCUGGUGUAGCGGUGAAAUGCGCAGAUAUCAGGAGGAACACCGAUGGCGAAGGCAGGUCUCUGGGCCACUACUGACGCUGAGAAGCGAAAGCAUGGGGAGCGAACAGG
rnacentral:rRNA from 1 species